UACGAGGGGGGCAAGCGUUGUUCGGAUUCACUGGGCGUAAAGGGUGCGUAGGCGGUCGGGUAAGUCUGAUGUGAAAUCUCACAGCUUAACUGUGAAACUGCAUUGGAUACUAUCCGGCUCGAGGAAUGGAGGGGAGACUGGAAUACUUGGUGUAGCAGUGAAAUGCGUAUAUAUCAAGUGGAACACCAGUGGCGAAGGCGAGUCUCUGGACAUUUCCUGACGCUGAGGCACGAAAGCCAGGGGAGCAAACGGG
rnacentral:rRNA from 1 species